CCGUAAGUUACUGUAGGCCAACCAAUUGGCUGUUUACAAGGUGAGUAUGGAGAAAGAGUUAAACUCAGGACUACCAAGAAAAAAAUUCAAUUUAUUUUUUGAGUGAGAAUUUGAUAUUGGACCUUUGGGUUUUGAGCUCAACAUUCUCAUCACUUGCAAUGGAUAGGUUAGCUCCAUGAUGCCUUCAUAAUGGCUCAAUUUAAAUUUUGGAUUUGCUGUAUAUUGUAAUAAUUUCAAGACAUUUCUUGUUUGCUUUCUUACUGACCAGUUAUAUUUAGGGAUAUAUUUCACAUGAACCUAAAUAUUUCACAAGGCUUAAUUCAAAACUGACAAAACAUUAAGUGCUAAUCAAAUGGUUUACCCUGUUGUCAGUUAACAUGAAUAUUGUUGAUUAUCUUGUAAAUCGUAUAGAUUGCUUUUGAAAUGACACUGAUGUAAAGCUUUCCUUUUUAUUUGAUUUACACAUGAGGAGAGAUAUGAAGAAGACAGAUACACCACACAUGGAAUCUGGAAGAAAACUGACUUGAAUUCGUAAGAUUGCAUUUGAGAUGUCACAGAUGUAAAGCUUUCCUUUUCAUUUGAUUUACACCUGAGGAGAGAUACGAAUGAGAAGACAGACACACCACACAUCGAAUCUGGAAGAAAACUGACUUGAAUUUAUAAGGUACGCCAACCAGUGCUAUAAUCUUUGAUGAAGAGGAACAAGAAGAAGCACUUAACAUGAACGGGUUACGCAAAUGAUAAAAUUAUUCUAAGGUAAUGAAUUCGAAAGUAUUCAGCUGACGAUAGUUCAGACCACUAACAUAAUGAGACGCUGAAAGAGAUCAUGUGAAAUUGCGUUAUCUGUUGACUGCGACAACGUUACAAAUGCGUAACUCCCUAUAAAAAGGUUGAAAUCAGUGAGUCUUCACUUACCUUCUUUACCGUGCCGAGUGACUUUAUAAGUAUAUCCACUGUCCGAUCGCAGUUUCACUGUUGUGCCUCUCCCAGAGGUUUUUUCCUUAGUUAUUUGUCCAUACUUGGCUUCGAACUCUGCAUUUUCCGGAUAUCGUGUUAGUAAAUUUGAGACUUCAGAGCUACACAAAACAGUUAAAGUUACUUACUUUUUCUA